UGGAGCACUUAGCGUCUAACCCUAGAACUUCUAGACAGCUGUCCAGAAGAAGAUCAAAGGUGAAACGUUUGAGAUCUCCUCGAGCAGUGUGCGUACUGUUGGGAUUAGACAUUCAUUAAUUAGCCUUAAUCAUUUCUCCCCCAAGCGUGCUAACUUGAAAUUUGUGCUAACGCUGAAUGAUGUGUCGUUUUGCAUGUGUUUUAACUUAGGGUAUUUAAACACUUUUCUCACAUUUCACACACUUAUCACUCUCACUCACUCUCAAACCCUUUCUAAACCCUCUCUGAAGCAUUUCUACAAACA
rnacentral:lncRNA from 1 species